UCCUCCGUGGCGCAAUUGGCUAGCGCGUCUGACUGUUACAUGGUCUCGAAGCCGUCCAGGUACUCGAAAUCGUUGCAAUCAGGAGGUUGACAGUUCAAGCCUGUCCGGGGGAG
rnacentral:tRNA from 1 species